rnacentral:rRNA from 1 species
GAUGAACGCUGGCGGCGUGCCUAAUACAUGCAAGUCGAGCGAACAGAUGAGGAGCUUGCUCCUCUGACGUUAGCGGCGGACGGGUGAGUAACACGUGGAUAACCUACCUAUAAGACUGGGAUAACUUCGGGAAACCGGAGCUAAUACCGGAUAAUAUAUUGAACCGCAUGGUUCAAUAGUGAAAGACGGUUUUGCUGUCACUUAUAGAUGGAUCCGCGCCGCAUUAGCUAGUUGGUAAGGUAACGGCUUACCAAGGCAACGAGGCGUAGCCGACCUGAGAGGGUGAUCGGCCACACUGGAACUGAGACACGGUCCAGACUCCUACGGGAGGCAGCAGUAGGGAAUCUUCCGCAAUAGGCGAAAGCCUGACGGAGCAACGCCGCGUGAGUGAUGAAGGUCUUCGGAUCGGAAAACUCUGUUAUUAGGGAAGAACAAAUGUGUAAGUAACUAUGCACGUCUUGACGGUACCUAAUCAGAAAGCCACGGCUAACUACGUG